rnacentral:RNase_P_RNA from 1 species
GGUCUGUCGCUGGCAUUAGAAAUAAUGAAAGAGGAAAGUCCGGGCAGCAUAGGGUGCCUCACUACCUAAUAUAGUAGUAGUUCGCAAGAGUUAGGUAACGUAGAAGAAAAGAACCGCCCUGCCUUUGUGCAGGGUAAGGGUGAGAAGGUAGGGUAAGAGCCUACCAGCAUGAUGGUGACAUCGUGGCUGUGCGUCCUGGGGGCUGCAAGUUCAUGUAUACUGCCGACUGAGGGUUGCCCGCCCGAGGCAGAGGGUAGAACGCUUGAGCUGCAUGGUGACGUGCAGAGUAGAUAAAUGACAGACGCUCCAUUUCGUGACCGAAAGGUUACUGCUAUAGAGCACAGAACCCGGCUUAUAGAGAUACU